CCUGGUGUUUAUGGCGGUAUGGAACCACACUGAACCAUCUCGAACUCAGACGUGAAACAUACCUGCGGCGACGAUAGUUGGGGGGUAGCCCCCUGUGAAAAUAGCACGAUGCCAGGA
rnacentral:rRNA from 2 species